rnacentral:tRNA from 1 species
GCGGGUGUGGCGGAAUGGCAGACGCGCUAGAUUUAGGUUCUAGUGGUAACAACCGUGCAGGUUCAACUCCUGUCACCCGCACCA